rnacentral:rRNA from 1 species
CACGGAUAACAUACCGAAAGGUAUGCUAAUACGGGAUAAUAUAUUUGAGAGGCAUCUCUUAAAUAUCAAAGGUGAGCCAGUACAGGAUGGACCCGCGUCUGAUUAGCUAGUUGGUAAGGUAACGGCUUACCAAGGCAACGAUCAGUAGCCGACCUGAGAGGGUGAUCGGCCACAUUGGAACUGAGACACGGUCCAAACUCCUACGGGAGGCAGCAGUGGGGAAUAUUGCACAAUGGGCGAAAGCCUGAUGCAGCAACGCCGCGUGAGUGAUGAAGGCCUCCGGGUCGUAAAACUCUGUCCUCAAGGAAGAUAAUGACGGUACUUGAGGAGGAAGCCCCGGCUAACUACGUGCCAGCAGCCGCGGUAAUACGUAGGGGGCUAGCGUUAUCCGGAUUUACUGGGCGUAAAGGGUGCGUAGGCGGUCUUUCAAGUCAGGAGUGAAAGGCUACGGCUCAACCGUAGUAAGCUCUUGAAACUGGGAGACUUGAGUGCAGGAGAGGAGAGUGGAAUUCCUAGUGUAGCGGUGAAAUGCGUAGAUAUUAGGAGGAACACCAGUUGCGAAGGCGGCUCUCUGGACUGUAACUGACGCUGAGGCACGAAAGCGUGGGGAGCAAACAGGAUUAGAUACCCUGGUAGUCCACGCUGUAAACGAUGAGUACUAGGUGUCGGGGGUUACCCCCUUCGGUGCCGCAGCUAACG